AGUGAACGCUGGCGGUAGGCCUAACACAUGCAAGUCGAACGGCAGCACAGUAAGAGCUUGCUCUUACGGGUGGCGAGUGGCGGACGGGUGAGGAAUACAUCGGAAUCUACUUUUUCGUGGGGGAUAACGUAGGGAAACUUACGCUAAUACCGCAUACGACCUACGGGUGAAAGCAGGGGAUCUUCGGACCUUGCGCGAUUGAAUGAGCCGAUGUCGGAUUAGCUAGUUGGCGGGGUAAAGGCCCACCAAGGCGACGAUCCGUAGCUGGUCUGAGAGGAUGAUCGGCCACACUGGAACUGAGACACGGUCCAGGCUCCUACGGGAGGCAGCAGUGGGGAAUAUUGGACAAUGGGCGCGAGCCUGGUCCAGCCAUACCGCGUGGGUGAAGGAGGCCUUCGGGUUGUAAAGCCCUUUUGUUGGGAAAGAAAAGCAGCAGGUUAAUACCCCGCUGUUCUGACGGUACCCAAAGAAUAAGCACCGGCUAACUUCGUG
rnacentral:rRNA from 1 species